UUAAAGAAGAACAUAUCUGAGAGUAACUGUUCAGGUAUUGACGGUAUUUAACCAGAAAGCCACGGCUAACUACGUGCCAGCAGCCGCGGUAAUACGUAGGUGGCAAGCGUUGUCCGGAUUUAUUGGGCGUAAAGCGAGCGCAGGCGGUUUUUUAAGUCUGAUGUGAAAGCCUUCGGCUCAACCGAAGAAGUGCAUCGGAAACUGGGAAACUUGAGUGCAGAAGAGGACAGUGGAACUCCAUGUGUAGCGGUGAAAUGCGUAGAUAUAUGGAAGAACACCAGUGGCGAAGGCGGCUGUCUGGUCUGUAACUGACGCUGAGGCUCGAAAGUAUGGGUAGCAAACAGGAUUAGAUACCCUGGUAGUCCAUACCGUAAACGAUGAAUGCUAAGUGUUGGAGGGUUUCCGCCCUUCAGUGCUGCAGCUAACGCAUUAAGCAUUCCGCCUGGGGAGUACGGCCGCAAGGCUGAAACUCAAAGGAAUUGACGGGGGCCCGCACAAGCGGUGGAGCAUGUGGUUUAAUUCGAAGCUACGCGAAGAACCUUACCAGGUCUUGACAUACUAUGCAAAUCUAAGAGAUUAGACGUUCCCUUCGGGGACAUGGAUACAGGUGGUGCAUGGUUGUCGUCAGCUCGUGUCGUGAGAUGUUGGGUUAAGUCCCGCAACGAGCGCAACCCUUAUUAUCAGUUGCCAGCAUUAAGUUGGGCACUCUGGUGAGACUGCCGGUGACAAACCGGAGGAAGGUGGGGAUGACGUCAAAUCAUCAUGCCCCUUAUGACCUGGGCUACACACGUGCUACAAUGGAUGGUACAACGAGUUGCGAACUCGCGAGAGUAAGCUAAUCUCUUAAAGCCAUUCUCAGUUCGGAUUGUAGGCUGCAACUCGCCUACAUGAAGUCGGAAUCGCUAGUAAUCGCGGAUCAGCAUGCCGCGGUGAAUACGUUCCCGGGCCUUGUACACACCGCCCGUCACACCAUGAGAGUUUGUAACACCCAAAGUCGGUGGGGUAACCUUUUAGGAACCAGCC
rnacentral:rRNA from 1 species